rnacentral:rRNA from 1 species
UACGUAGGGUGCAAGCGUUGUCCGGAAUUAUUGGGCGUAAAGAGCUCGUAGGCGGUUUGUCGCGUCUGCUGUGAAAACUCGGGGCUCAACUCCGAGCUUGCAGUGGGUACGGGCAGACCAGAGUGCGGUAGGGGAGACUGGAAUUCCUGGUGUAGCGGUGGAAUGCGCAGAUAUCAGGAGGAACACCGGUGGCGAAGGCGGGUCUCUGGGCCGUAACUGACGCUGAAGAGCGAAAGCGUGGGGAGCAAACAGG